AAGCGACGGUAAGACGUCGUGGAGGACCGAACCCACUUAGGUUGAAAACUGAGGGGAUGAGCUGUGGAUAGGGGUGAAAGGCCAAUCAAACUUCGUGAUAGCUGGUUCUCUCCGAAAUGCAUUUAGGUGCAGCGUUGCGUGUUUCUUGCCGGAGGUAGAGCUACUGGAUGGCCGAUGGGGCCCAAAAGCUUACUGACGUCAGCCAAACUCCGAAUGCCGGUAAGUGAGAGCGCAGCAGUGAGACGGUGGGGGAUAAGCUUCAUCGUCGAGAGGGAAACAACCCAGACUACCAACUAAGGUCCCUAAGCGUGUGCUAAGUGGGAAAGGAUGUGGAGUUGCAUAGACAACCAGGAGGUUGGCUUAGAAGCAGCCACCCUUGAAAGAGUGCGUAAUAGCUCACUGGUCAAGUGAUUCCGCGCCGACAAUGUAACGGGGCUCAAGCACACCACCGAAGUUGUAGAUUUCGUAUUAUAGACAAGCCUUCGUGGUUCAGUCGUACGGAGUGGUAGGAGAGCGUCGUGUGGCCAGUGAAGCGGCGGUGUAAACCAGCCGUGGAGGCCACACGAGUGAGAAUGCAGGCAUGAGUAGCGAAAGACGGGUGAGAAACCCGUCCUCCGAAAGACCAAGGGUUCCAGGGCCAGGUUAAUCCGCCCUGGGUAAGUCGGGACCUAAGGCGAGGCCGACAGGCGUAGUCGAUGGACAACGGGUUGAUAUUCCCGUACCGGCGAAGAACCGCCCAAGCUAAUCCAGUGGUGCUAAGAGUCCUAACCCGGCUGAGUGGAUCCCUUCGGGGUGAUGCCGGCCGGUCUAACGCUCGACCCCAUGCUGGUGCGGUUAACGUAUUAACAGGUGUGACGCAGGAAGGUAGCUGAGCCAGGCGAUGGUAUCCGUAAGGUGAACCUGGUGUAAGGAUGUAGGGCUGACGAUAGGCAAAUCCGUCGUCAAUGCGCCUGAGAUCCGAUGCGUACCCCGAUUGGGGGAAAUCAGUGAUCCUAUGCUGCCGAGAAAAGCAUCGACGUGAGGUUCAAGCCGCCCGUACCCCAAACCGACUCAGGUGGUCAGGUAGAGAAUACC
rnacentral:rRNA from 1 species